rnacentral:rRNA from 1 species
GGAGGGGUGCUAACGUUGCUCGGAAUUACUGGGCGUUAAAAGCGCAUGUAGGCGGUCUAUCAAGUCUCGUGUGAAAUCCCUGGGCUCAACCCAGGAAGUGCACGGGAAACUGGCAGAUAGAGUUCGGUAGAAGUGGGCGGAAUUCCGGGUGUAGAGGUGAAAUUCGUAGAUAUCCGGAGGAACACCAGUAGCGAAAGCGGUUCACUAGGCCGACACUGACGCUCAGAUGCGAAAGCGUGGGGAGCAAACAGGAUUAGAUACCCUGGUAGUCCACGCCCGUAAACGAUGGAUACUAGGUGUUGGGGGCUUGACCCCUUCAGCGCCGUAGCUAACGCAAUAAGUAUCCCGCCUGGGGAGUACGGUCGCAAAGACUA